CAACAUGUCUGUAAUGUGUGCGAAGACUGCGACAGAGUCACAGUGUUCAGUGCAGUGGGAGUGAAGAAGAAGAGGGGGCGGGUCGCCCUCAGCUUUGCAGAUCUUGGUGGGGGGUGGGGUGGGGGUUAGGACUGGCACUCACCAAUCCGGUGGCCUCACGUCACCAGGAGCCUGUGGCUGAAGUCUUGGAUCUGACAGCAGUUGCCAUUCAGGUAACCAGCUCCCUGUUUUCUUGGCGGUUGAUGGUGAGCAAGGAAGGAGAAGGAAGAAGGAAGAAGGAAUAAAGAAGGAGAAGACCCGUGUUGAAAUCUGAGGGACACAGACCCCUGAAAUCCUCGCAGCAUCUGCAGCAUGGGGUGUGCUCAGAAUUUGGUGUUGAUGGCAGCAGGCCUGGUGAUUGGAACUGGCACCUGGUACUGCAUAUAUCGACUGACCUGUGGUAAAGAGCAGAACAAGAAGAGGCCAGCUGAUACGAAAGAUAUCAGUCCUGUCUACAAGAAAUUCAGAAAACUGUGAGAGAAAAAAAGAGAGAGAGAAUAAAAGCAAGCAACAAAUGA